AUUGAACGCUGGCGGCAGGCCUAACACAUGCAAGUCGAGCGAGCGGCGUACGGGUGAGUAAUGUAUGGGGCUCUGCCCGAUAGAGGGGGAUAACUAACGGAAACGGUUGCUAAUACCGCAUUCUAUCGCAUGAACCCAUAUGGGUUUAGUUAGUGGGGGGGGUAAAGGCUUACAUAGGCGAUGAUCUCUUCCUGGUAUGAGAGGAUGACCGGCCACACUGGAACUGAGACACGGCCCAGAGUCCUACGGGAGGCAGCAGUGGGGAAUAUUGGACAAUGGGCGCAAGCCUGAUGCAGCCAGGCCGCGUGUGUGAAGAAGGCCUUAGGGUUGUAAAGUACUUUCAGCGGGGAGGCGUUACCCGCAGAAUAAGCACCGGCUAACUCCGUGCCAGCAGCCGCGGUAAUUC
rnacentral:rRNA from 1 species